ACAAGGAAUGAAAUAACUUAGAAAUAUGAAAAGUAAGAAAAGAGAACCAGAUCAAAUGGCCCCCUACUUGAUAUGCUUCCUAAUUUUUGGGUAUUUUAAACGAAAAAUUAUUUUUUCAAUUUCUUGCAGAUUAGUAAAUACAGGAGAAAAUUUAUAUAAAUUACAUUUGGCAUCUGGUAAAUCCACUCUGAAAUAGACAACUACUUCCAAAAUCAAUUUUCACUACUAAUAUAGUUAGUGACAUUUCUACUCAAUUUAAUUCAAACCCUAUAAUGUAAAAUAUUGUUGUAUCGGUUCGAACGGUUCAUCCGGUUAGGUUUGUAGGCUUAUUUAGGCCCAAACAAAAGUUGUUUAACAAAUGGGCUGAGAUCCAUUUGCAACCCAUACCACGAAGUCCCCGUUUCUUUGUUCCGAUUGGAAAUUGCAGCCCAUUUUCCGGCGAUCCAGCAUCUCCGAUCUUCGUCUUUACGUUUUCAUCUUCCUUAACUCCUUCCGAGUUCCAACAAUGGCUUCCUGAAUCCAGCUCCAUCGUCUCCAUAGUCAACCUCAAAGAUCCCAGAAUGGAGCUUGCUCUUUCCAUCCUCUUCCUUUCUCUCAACUUCUCCUCUUUUCUUCGUCCUGCUACUGCUAGAGGCGGCCUUCAUACUUCCUACCCUCCAGGUUGCCCUUUUUGCAAAUUAUCCAUAAAAGUUCUGCACUGAACCAUGCUGAUUGAUAGCUUGAUACUAGGGUCUUACUUUCAUUCAUGGAAAAAGCAAACGAUUUGUUUGUUGAACAUUUGUCCAGAAUAAUUUCAUUCAUUUCCAUUAGACUUCUUCCGGCUGUACGUUGGCUUCAGUGUGAGUGUACGUUUUGAUCAUUAUUCAAUUUUACCUAUGAUGCCCAAUGUGUUCAGGUUUCUAAAUGUUUCUGUUAUAGUGUGAAACAAGCAUGGUGAUGUCAAUAGUAGGUCUUAAAGUGUUACUCUAAUGUUAUGAACAUUGCCAAUUACUUCUAAUAUGAUUAUGGAUUUUCGGAUGGUGCCUAACAAUUAUCCCAGAAUUUAUGCCAACGCUUAUUCAUUUUUAUUUUGCACAUAUGCUCUUGUCUUUUGAUCGAAAUUAAAUUACAGGAAAGAUUAUUUGCAUGUCCAGACGACGAGACAUUCCGGUUCUUACCAAGUGUAUAUAGUCACUCUCACCACAAUAUGUCAUUGCGCAAGGAAUUUGAGGGAGGGAUUACGAAUCGAGCUUUCUGACACCUGUUGUAGGUACCCUAUAUAUGGAGGCAUGCAAGAUUGGAACUACAAAAAUGGUGGCUGUUUUGAAUUGACUUUGGAGAUUAGUGAUAACAAAUGGCCUACUGCUAACGAGGUCAGGCAUCAGUUAGGGCGAGUGUGUGCAACCUUUAAAUAUAAAACGACAUUCUUUAGCCAAGUUUAUCAUGUAUAUGGGGAUACGGUUGCGCCCUUGGUGUAGCUAUAGGUCCAAUGGACCUCAGGGGGGGUGGGGACGGAACUUUGCAUGGUACUAGCUGUUCAUAUUGUGAAUGGCAAUAUAAAACCACGAAUUGUCAAUCCAUAGUUUGCCUUGCCUUAAUUUUUGCAUAUUGUGAAUGGCAAUAUAAAAGUAUUUAAGGAUACAGAGAAUGCCUGAUCCAUCCAAAAUUUAUAUAACAUAUCUAAUGUAGCUCUUUAGUGUUAUACCCUACUUUUCUUUGUAAUUUAUGGCAAUUUUAGGUUACUUCAUUCUUAGAUUUUGGUCUUUUCCUGUGUUGAACGUUUUCCCUCAUUGCCCUUAUUUUAUCUCAUCUUACUAAUCUAUGUGGAUGAUAAACUGAGGCUUCUGUAUAUGCUUGGGUAAAAACUUAAUCUCGUGGAGUUCGAAGAAACAAAAAACAGUUUCCAGGUCUAGCACUGAAGCUGAAUAUCGGCAGCUUGCAUACACUGCCGCUGAGUUGCCUUGGUUAUGUUCGUUGUUUAGGGACGUACAUUAGAAUCUCCUAAGAUAACAGAUUUGGUGUGAUAAUCCAUUGCCUUAGCAUCCAAUCCAG